rnacentral:lncRNA from 1 species
AAGAAGGUGGAACUUGACCCUGCUCCGCAUCUCUGACAGGAAGGCCUCUCUUCCUUCCCAUCUGCCCCCAGGCAUGCAAGGACCAAGCCAGGGUCAAGGAGUGGAAGAAGAAGCUUAUCUUCUGGAAGCCUAGAGAGAUGAACGGAACUUAUAAAUGAUGACAUUAUAAGCAUAAAUACGAGCCCCUGGGAAAAGCAUCUCAGCUACCUCAAUCAACAGUUGAAGGGGUGAUGGUCCAGGAAGCUGUGGUUGGAAGGAGGUACAGCAAAUAUUGCUCAGUGCUUAGUCACUGGGCAUGGGCCUCCCAGGAAUGAUGGCUGCACCCUCUGUCAUAACAUUUUAUCUAUCUGGAGGCCCAGGAGGGACUCUGGGAGCCAAGAUUCCUACCGGUCCCAGUGGAGUACAGGGAGAACAUUCAGUUCACAACCAGCAGGUGGUUCCUAACUUUCUGAGAAGGACAGAACACAGAUUGAGCCUGUGGUCACUUCAGCUGAGAAUCAGAGAUAAUUUGGGGAGACUAAAGUUGCCCUGAAUUACAUCAACUUUAGAAACUGCCAAAUGAGCAAAAACCCUAUUUCCCAUGGAACCAGUACUAGUUUGCAUAGUGAUCUUGAGAGCUAAUCAUUUUUAUUUUUCAGUAUACACAAUCUGCAGCUCUUAGGACGCUUAUACAAAUCUGGCCAGGCGCAAUGGCUCAUGCCUGUACUCCCAGCACUUUGCAGGAUGAUGACAGAUGGAUCACUUGAGGUCAGGAGUUUGAGACCAGCCUGGCCAACAUGGUGAAACCCCGUCUCUACUAAAAAUACAAAAAUUAGCUGGGCGUGGUGGUGGAUGCCUGUAAUCCCAGCUACUUGGGAGGCUGAGGCAGGAGAAUCGCUUGAAUCUGGGAGGAGCAGGUUGCAGUGAGCCGAGAUUGCACCAUUGGCACUCCAGCUGGGCAACAGAGUGAGACUCCCACAAAAAAAAAAAAAAAGAAAAGAAAAGAAAAAAGAAAAAAAAACUCUGAAAGUAGAAAGAUUUUCCCUAAGACCUAGGACCACGUCUUCCAGAAGCUGGGGAUGAUACUGUGACACACACCUCUGCAAGGAUGCCAUGUUUGGGAGCCCAGGGGAACUCAGAAGCCAGGCCCCUGUGAACGUGACCAGGACUCAACUGUCCAUACACUUUAUAGUACAGAAAAAUCACAAGCCUGGGAAAACAUUAACUUCCAACACAUUCGUUAUUUCAAUAUUUUUUUUUUGGAAAGUAUUUUUAUUUACUUUGCCUCUUUGGCUUCUCCUGUUACCUUCAAAAACAAGCAUACUCCCAUAAAUGUGAUAGUCAUCAUGGACAUAGCAGCUAACAUCCAGAAAUCUACUGCAGACAAAAAAGCACUUUCCUUAAAAAUUAUGAUUACAGAACAUCAUCAAGGCUUUGUAAGACAGUCAGUGUUCACAUGGACACAGGGAGGGGAACAUCACACACCGAGGCCAUUGGGGGUUGAGGGGCAAGGGGAGGAAGAGCAUUAGGACAAAUACCUAAUGCAUGCGGGGCUUAAAACCUAGAUGAUGGGUUGAUGGGUGCAGCAAACCACCAUGGCACAUGUAUACCUAUGUAACAAACCUGCACAUCUGCACAUGUAUCCCAGAACUUAAAGUAAAAAACAAAAAACAAACAAACAAACAAAAAACAAAGUCAGUGUUGAAAUAAAGAUUUUUUUUUUUUUGUAAUAAGCAACUUUUAGUACGUAUAUUUCUUCCUCUUUCUCUUAUGGAUAAAUUUAUUUUUAACUAGAUGUUUUAAAAUAAAUCACUCUCCUAGUGACCUCAUUAGACAGGAAAAUAGGAACCAACCAGGGCAUCUACAUGCAAAUAAAUAUUUUUGCACACUAAUAUUUGCAAACUAAUUACUUUUGAGGUCAGUUAGAGAGGUUUCUCAGGCAAAACCAUCUGGAUAAUCUCUCCAAAAAACAAAACCUUUUCCUACUUAAUAGAAGGUUCUGCAGAAAACAUUCUUGGCACCUCAAGUUGUCUUUUUGCUAAUCAGCUAGUAUUAUAGGGGUUCACUGCAGAACAAUGUCCUAAAAGCUCUUUAUCUCAGUUACAUAAGCAGAAUGGCAUUUCAAAAUCUCAUUUUUAAAAGGCAUUAGUCACCAGUAUAACAAAACACAUGCUCUGUAGCAAUAAAAUUUAAUGUUCAAUAAAAAAUGCUUGUUUACAUGCAUUUUUAUAUGCCUCUAUAUAAAAGAAACCCUGUUUUCAUGAGAUGAAGUAUUUUCCUUAGGUCAGUGAACACUCCCUCCCAUUUCUGUGUCAAAACCCAUCCCAUCUCAUUGUCAUUUUCCCUGGAAAGAAGGC